rnacentral:rRNA from 1 species
GACGAACGCUGGCGGCGUGCCUAACACAUGCAAGUCGAACGGAGUGGCGAACGGGUGAGUAACACGUGGGUGAUCUGCCUUGCACUUCGGGAUAAGCUUGGGAAACUGGGUCUAAUACCGGAUAGUGCAAGAUGAGCUCGCGGCCUAUCAGCUUGUGGGUGGGGUAAUGGCCUACCAAGGCGUCGACGGGUAGGCGGCCUUCGAGGGUGUACGGGCACCUGGGGACUGAGGUACGGCCCAGAAGCCUACGUGAGGCAGCAGUGGAGAAUAUUGCACAAUGGGCGGACGUCUGAGGCAGCGGCGCUGGGUGGGGAAUGAACGGCUUCGGGUUGAAAACUCCUUUCGACAGGGACGCGGUACCUGUAUAAGAAGCAACGGCUAACUACGUGCCAGCAGCCGCGGUAAUUC